GGUGAACGCUAGCGGCAGGCCUAACACAUGCAAGUCGAGGGAGAAGCCCUUUCGGGGGCAGAAACCGGCGCACGGGUGCGUAACGCGUAUGCAACCUACCUUUCACAGGGGGAUAGCCCGAAGAAAUUUGGAUUAAUACCCCAUAAUAUUAUUGGAUGGCAUCAUUUGAUAAUUAAAACUGCGGUGGUGAAAGAUGGGCAUGCGUCCUAUUAGCUAGUUGGAGUGGUAACGGCACCCCAAGGCUACGAUAGGUAGGGGUCCUGAGAGGGAGAUCCCCCACACUGGUACUGGGACAGGGACCAGACUCCUACGGGAGGCAGCAGUGAGGAAUAUUGGUCAAUGGUCGGAAGACUGAACCAGCCAUGCCGCGUGCAGGAAGAAUGCCUUAUGGGUUGUAAACUGCUUUUAUAUGGGAAGAAUAAGGCGUACGUGUACGUUGAUGACGGUACCAUAUGAAUAAGCAUCGGCUAACUCCGUG
rnacentral:rRNA from 1 species